GUCUGGAGCCCUUCCACCCUGGCUUCAUCUUGGAAGCUAAGCAGGGUAGGGACUGGCUAGAAUGUGGUAUGGGAGACUGCCUGGGAAAACUGGGUGCUGAAAAAC
rnacentral:rRNA from 1 species